rnacentral:rRNA from 1 species
AUUGAACGCUGGCGGCAGGCCUAACACAUGCAAGUCGAGCGAGCGGCGGACGGGUGAGUAAUGUAUGGGGACUGCCCGAUAGCGGGGGAUAACUACUGUAAACGGUAGCUAAUAACGCAUACUAUCGGAUAACCCAUAUGGGAUUAGCUAGUAGGUGAGGUAAUGGCUCACCUAGGCGCCGAUCCCUAGCUGGUCUGAGAGGAUGAGCAGCCAAAUGGGGACGGAGACACGGCCCAGACGCCUACGGAGGCAGCAGUGGGGAAGAUCGCACAAUGGGCGCAAUCCGGAUGCAGACAUGCCGCGGGUAGGAAGAAGGCCCUAGGGUUGUAAAGUACGUUCAGUCGGGAGGCGUUACCGACAGAAGAAGCACCGGCUAACUCCGUGCCAGCAGCCGCGGUAAUUC